rnacentral:rRNA from 1 species
CAAUAGCGUAUAUUAAAGUUGUUGCAGUUAAAAAGCUCGUAGUUGGAUUUCGGGACGGGCCAGUUGGUCCGCCGCAAGGUGUGUUACUGACUGGUCUGUUCUUCUUCGCAAAGACUGCGUGUGCUCUUCGUUGAGUGUGCGUAGGAUUUACGACGUUUACUUUGAAAAAAUUAGAGUGUUCAAAGCAGGCUAUCGCUUGAAUACAUGAGCAUGGAAUAAUGGAAUAGGACUUUGGUCCUAUUUUGUUGGCUUCUAGGACCGAAGUAAUGAUUAAGAGGGACAAUUGGGGGCAUCCGUAUUUCGUUGUCAGAGGUGAAAUUCUUGGAUUUACGAAAGACGAACAACUGCGAAAGCACUUGCCAAGAGUGUUUUCAUUAA